rnacentral:rRNA from 1 species
CCUANGGGAGUCAGCAGUUAGGAAUCUUGGGCAAUGGGCGCAAGCCUGACCGAGCGACGCCGCGUGUGCGAUGAAGGCCUUCGGGUUGUAAAGCACUGUCGAGGGGGAGAAAGGCCGCAAGGCUUGAUCUAUCCCUGGAGGAAGCACGGGCUAAGUUCGUGCCAGCAGCCGCGGUAAGACGAACCGUGCGAACGUUGUUCGGAAUCACUGGGCUUAAGGGGCGCGUAGGCGGGCGAUCAAGUCAGGGGUGAAAUCUUUCGGCUCAACCGGAAAAGUGCCCCUGAUACUGGUGGUCUCGAGGAAGGUAGGGGCAGAUGGAACUUCUGGUGGAGCGGUGAAAUGCGUAGAUAUCAGAAGGAACGCCGGUGGCGAAAGCGAUCUGCUGGACCUUUACUGACGCUGAGGCGCGAAAGCUAGGGGAGCAAACGGGAUUAGAUACCCUUNUANUC